UACAGAGGGGGCAAGCGUUGUUCGGAAUUACUGGGCGUAAAGGGCGCGUAGGCGGCCUUCUAAGUCGAACGUGAAAUCCCCGGGCUCAACCCGGGAACUGCGUCCGAUACUGGAAGGCUUGAAUCCGGGAGAGGGAUGCGGAAUUCCAGGUGUAGCGGUGAAAUGCGUAGAUAUCUGGAGGAACACCGGUGGCGAAAGCGGCGCGCUGGAUCCCUACUGACGCUGAGGCACGAAAGCCAGGGGAGCAAACGGG
rnacentral:rRNA from 1 species